UACGGGGGGAGCAAGCGUUGUUCGGAUUUACUGGGCGUAAAGGGCGCGUAGGCGGCCUCCGCAAGUCAGUUGUGAAAUCUCCGAGCUUAACUCGGAAAGGUCAACUGAUACUGCGGGGGCUAGAGUGCGGAAGGGGCAACUGGAAUUCUUGGUGUAGCGGUGAAAUGCGUAGAUAUCAAGAGGAACACCUGCGGCGAAGGCGGGUUGCUGGGCCGACACUGACGUGAGGCGCGAAAGCUAGGGGGAGCGAACGGG
rnacentral:rRNA from 1 species